GGAUCCUUAGCUCAGUCGGUAGAGCAGGUGGCUGUUAACCACCGUGUCCCAGGUUCGAUUCCUGUAGGAUCCG
rnacentral:tRNA from 1 species